UGCCGGUGUGAGUAGCGAAAGACGGGUGAGAAUCCCGUCCACCGAUUGACUAAGGUUUCCAGAGGAAGGCUCGUCCGCUCUGGGUUAGUCGGGUCCUAAGCUGAGGCCGACAGGCGUAGGCGAUGGAUAACAGGUUGAUAUUCCUGUACCACCUAUAAUCGUUUUAAUCGAUGGGGGGACGCAGUAGGAUAGGCGAAGCGUGCGAUUGGAUUGCACGUCUAAGCAGUAAGGCUGAGUAUUAGGCAAAUCCGGUACUCGUUAAGGCUGAGCUGUGAUGGGGAGAAGACAUUGUGUCUUCGAGUCGUUGAUUUCACACUGCCGAGAAAAGCCUCUAGAUAGAAAAUAGGUGCCCGUACCGCAAACCGACACAGGUAGUCAAGAUGAGAAUUCUAAGGUGAGCGAGCGAACUCUCGUUAAGGAACUCGGCAAAAUGACCCCGUAACUUCGGGAGAAGGGGUGCUCUUUAGGGUUAACGCCCAGAAGAGCCGCAGUGAAUAGGCCCAAGCGACUGUUUAUCAAAAACACAGGUCUCUGCUAAACCGUAAGGUGAUGUAUAGGGGCUGACGCCUGCCCGGUGCUGGAAGGUUAAGAGGAGUGGUUAGCUUCUGCGAAGCUACGAAUCGAAGCCCCAGUAAACGGCGGCCGUAACUAUAACGGUCCUAAGGUAGCGAAAUUCCUUGUCGGGUAAGUUCCGACCCGCACGAAAGGCGUAACGAUUUGGGCACUGUCUCAACGAGAGACUCGGUGAAAUCAUAGUACCUGUGAAGAUGCAGGUUACCCGCGACAGGACGGAAAGACCCCGUGGAGCUUUACUGUAGCCUGAUAUUGAAAUUCGGCACAGCUUGUACAGGAUAGGUAGGAGCCUUUGAAACGUGAGCGCUAGCUUACGUGGAGGCGCUGGUGGGAUACUACCCUAGCUG
rnacentral:rRNA from 1 species